UUUGUCCUUAACAAUCGUCAGGACUAUCGCUCGCGGAUUGCCAGCUCGUAUCACGGAGUUAAUUCGCGUCUUUCGUGCAGUGCCGCGUAACAUGUUCGACGAGGCAUUUAAAUCGAAUAUCUCGCUCGUCUCGCUUCGUCUCGCCUCGUCUCGCCUCACCUCGCUUCGCCUCGCGAAAUCGCACGGUGAAAGUCGACCGGGAGCGACUUUAAAGUAACGCCGAUUUUCGAAUGGACGAGAGAGGGAGUGAAAAAGCACACCUUCGGGACCGUGCAUUACCUGACAGCGCGCAACCACCAGUCGAGUGGUUCAUUCGUCCCGUGGCGUCGCCGUGCUCCAAUACGUCAGUCUAUGUUUGCUCGGCCGUCAGCGAAGACGACGAACGACGCAACGUAAACUACGAAAACACGUUUAUUUACAAGUGCCACGGAAGAAACAAGAUUACCUCUCAAAUCACGAACAAUUCAUGCAGAAUUUAACGCGGUGACGUUGGAAAAAUAAAACAGUGAUGUAGUUGAGAUUUUAUCAUUUGUUUCUAAUCUCGGUCAAUGACCGGUUUCGACGACAAGCUGAAG